rnacentral:rRNA from 1 species
UGAGAGGUUCUCACGAGUAGUAUUUAGUGGCGGACGGGUGAGUAACACGUUGGAACCUGCCCCGAAGUGGGGAAUAACUGCUCGAAAGAGUAGCUAAUACCCCAUAGUAUCCGGGUUUAUCCGGGAUUAAAGAUUUAUCGCUUCGGGAGGGGCCUGCGUCUGAUUAGCUAGUUGGUGAGGUAAAAGCUCACCAAGGCGACGAUCAGUAGCUGGUUCGAGAGGAUGACCAGCCACACUGGGACUGAGAUACGGCCCAGACUCCUACGGGAGGCAGCAGUGAGGAAUCUUCCACAAUGGGCGCAAGCCUGAUGGAGCAAUACCGCGUGCAGGAAGACGUCUUUUCGGAGUGUAAACUGCUUUUGUCGUCGAAGAUUAUGACUGUAGACGAAGAAUAAGGACCGGCUAACUACGUG